AGAAUCAACGCUGGCGGCGUGCCUAACACAUGCAAGUCGAACGAGAAAGGGGAGCAAUCCAUGAGUAAAGUGGCGCACGGGUGAGUAACACGUGACUAACCUACCCUUGAGUGGGGGAUAACCUAGGGAAACCUGGGCUAAUACCGCAUAAUACCUUCGGGUCAAAGGAGCAAUUCGCUUAAGGAGGGGGUCGCGGCCGAUUAGUUAGUUGGCGGGGUAAUGGCCCACCAAGACUGUGAUCGGUAUCCGGCCUGAGAGGGCGCACGGACACACUGGAACUGAAACACGGUCCAGACUCCUACGGGAGGCAGCAGUGGGGAAUUUUGCGCAAUGGGGGAAACCCUGACGCAGCAACGCCGCGUGGAGGAUGAAGUCCCUUGGGACGUAAACUCCUUUCGAUCGGGACGAUUAUGACGGUACCGGAAGAAGAAGCCCCGGCUAACUUCGUGCCAGCAGCCGC
rnacentral:rRNA from 1 species